rnacentral:RNase_P_RNA from 1 species
GACAAUCGCGGGAAUCCGUAAGGAUGCACGAGGAAAGUCCGGACUCCACAGAGCGCCGUAGCAGUUAACGACUGCCUGCCGCAAGGUACGGAUUAGAGCAACAGAGACGAGCCGACUACGGGUCGGGUGAAACGGGCAAUCUCUACGGGGAGCAACAUCAAAUAGGCAACCGCUGAUCCUGCUCGGGGAGGUUGCGGGUAGAUGGCUUGAGGCGUAGCGCGAGUUACGUUCUAGAUGAAUGAUUGUCGGUCGCAUUCAACCGAGUGCGAAACAGAAUCCGGCUUAUCGGCGAACUU